AGCACCUCCAAAUUUACACGGGUUCCUGGCCAGACUCAAGUUCCCUUUCCUCCUCCCCUCAGAGAGCUUAUUACAGUUUGCAAGAAAAUGAAUUUUGCUGCCAGGAGAAGGUAUCAGGUAUGCAUUUGCAAAGUCAAGGGGAACUUGCCAACAUCUUUACUCAGUGAAACUCAAGCAUGUAUCAAUUUCUGAUACAUCCGGUGAGAAAUUUCAUCUCUUCACGCCUUAAGAAAGGAAGGAAAUCUGCUAAACACAGGACAUCAGAGAUUGUAAAUGAACUGCAUUAGGAUGCCUGAUACAAAUGUAACUUUUAGACAGGAAAUCAAACAUGAUUUUCUACGCAAGUAUGUUUUAAACUUCCACCAUAAUAAAAAAAAUGGUCUCUUUCUCA